UACGUAGGGUGCAAGCGUUAAUCGGAAUUACUGGGCGUAAAGCGUGCGCAGGCGGUUGUGCAAGACAGAUGUGAAAUCCCCGGGCUCAACCUGGGAACUGCAUUUGUGACUGCACGGCUAGAGUGUGUCAGAGGGGGGGUAGAAUUCCACGUGUAGCAGUGAAAUGCGUAGAUAUGUGGAGGAAUACCGAUGGCGAAGGCAGCCCCCUGGGAUGACACUGACGCUCAUGCACGAAAGCGUGGGGGAGCAAAACAGG
rnacentral:rRNA from 1 species